UCUUCCAUUCCACCGAACACCCAAUCUUGUAAAAAAAAAUUUCGACAAGCUUUUUCGGCGAAUCAACACCUCUACUUUUUCCUCUUAUUCUCUUGAGCUUGGUGGCGAAGCGUAAUCCCAAGGGAAGGAAAUUGCCGACCUGUAAGAGCGUCUCAAGGCGAGACGACGGGUUCAGCUAUGACGUUGGACUGGGUUAUGCUUGCCAGGCAGUAGACUGACCUAUCUUUUCUUCUUAUCUAGGUUAGUUGCAUUGUGUAUGUAAAUUUUAUGGACCCACUAGACUUGAUUUUUGUGUAUUAUUCUUAUAUUUAUAUUUGUACUUUCUGGUUGUAUUUGGAACCCUGGCUGGUUCUGUUGUUGUUAUUGGCUUCUUCUUUAGUCAGUUGUGUUAUUGGCUUCUACUCUGUUAAGCAUGCUUGAAGACAUCAAGAAGUAUGUGAUGAACAGGGUUGUUGUAAAAAGAGAGUAUGCAGUGAAGUGGUCCUUAAAUAUAAUUGCCAACCUUGAAAAGUAAAGGAGCAAGUGUAUAAAAUGGCAUGUUGAGUGAAAUAGGGCUAUAAGAUAUGGAGUUUCUUAGAAUGAUCAGUUAUUGCAAGUUAGAGAAAGUUAUGUUUUUAGGUUGCCAGACAAAAGUUGUUCUUAUGGUAAAUGGGACAAAAAUGAUAUACCUUGUCAGCAUGCAUUGCCUGCUAUUUUAUUCCAAGGGGAAAUCCACUUACUUAUGUGGCUAGAUGGUUCACAAAGGAAUACCAUUUAAAGGCAUAUAGACUAUCAGUCCCUUGAGAGGUAGAAUGUUUUAGGAAACAAGUUGAGAAGUUCCGUUGCUUCCACCAAUACCAAAAAGGAUGACUAGUUGACUAGUGAAGAAGAGGAAAUGGGAACCACUACAAGGCAAACACAAAAGCAAGAUAAGGCUCUCCAGAUCAGGUAAGGUCUUCAAGUGUGAAAUUUGCCAUGGGGAAGAUCACAAUAGAGUUGCUGUAUGAGAAGAGCUAGUUAUGUAAGUUUUUUAGUGCUCAUGAUAAUAUGAUUAUUUCCUUUAUUCAUCCAUGUUAGUUUGGUUUUCAAAGACAAAGUACCAUGUCAUAUAUGUGACAUCUGAUGCUAUUGGAUUAAGUGGCUGGGAAACAUCACAGGUAAAGAAUAGAAAAAGGAAAAAGAUUAGAGCUAAUAGUGUAAGUUUUUGAGUGCUCAUAUUAAUAUGAUUUUUAUUUAUCUAAUUCAAUGUUAAUUUAGUGGUCAUAAGCAAAUAUCCUAUCUAUGUAGGUCACAAUUGAUGAUGUUAGUUCAAGUGCUCAAGAAACACAAUAGGGUAAAAAAGAGAAAGAGGAAAGAUAAGAGAACUGAUAGUGUCAUAGCUGCUAAUAUUAAUCCAAGUGGCUAGAAAUCAUAAUAUGGCAAUAAGAGAAAGAGGAAAGAAAGGGGAACUGACAGUGCCAUAAUUGAUAACACUACUCCAACUAGCCAGAGAACACAACGAGGAAGGAGAACAAAGGGACAAAACACACAGAUGAUGCAUAUGAACUAAAACAAAGAGAGCUUCAUUUAGAGUUUUGAAAAAUCUGAGACGCAAAAGGUUUGCAGCAAGGGGAAACAAGAAUAAAGAAGCUAAUCACCAGAUCCUCACAACAUUUGAAGUUCUAGACAUCUCAGCUACGCAACAAGACGCUAUUGACAUCUCAACUACACCUAAUAGCAGAGAAUGUCAUUAGUUGAAGUUGUUGUGUUUAGGGAUUUUUUGUUAAGAAGUCUUUGUAUUUUUGGUUCAAACUCCACAAAUGUUAGUCACAUGUGAAUACUAGUGACUUAUAGGAUUGUAAACAUUUCUAAUGAUUAUAUGUCAUUUUAGUUUAUUGAGUUUGUUAACCAAAUGUUAUGUUCAAAACAUCUACCUUGUAUGUAGAAAAUAUU